AUUGAACGCUGGCGGCAGGCCUAACACAUGCAAGUCGAACGGUAGCACAGAGAGCUUGCUCUCGGGUGACGAGUGGCGGACGGGUGAGUAACGUCUGGGAAACUGCCCGAUGGAGGGGGAUAACUACUGGAAACGGUAGCUAAUACCGCAUAACGUCGCAAGACCAAAGGGGGGGACCUUCGGGCCUCACACCAUCGGAUGUGCCCAGAUGGGAUUAGCUAGUAGGUGGGGUAAUGGCUCACCUAGGCGACGAUCCCUAGCUGGUCUGAGAGGAUGACCAGCCACACUGGAACUGAGACACGGUCCAGACUCCUACGGGAGGCAGCAGUGGGGAAUAUUGCACAAUGGGCGCAAGCCUGAUGCAGCCAUGCCGCGUGUAUGAAGAAGGCCUUCGGGUUGUAAAGUACUUUAAGCGAGGAGGAAUGGCUGAGGGUUAAUAACCUUCAGCAGUGACGUUACUCGCAGAAUAAGCACCGGCUAACUCUGUGCCAGCCGCCGCGGUAA
rnacentral:rRNA from 1 species